GCUGGGUGUGGUGGCGGGUACCUGUAAUCCCAGCUACUAGGGAGGCUGAGGCAGGAGAAUCGCUCGAACCCAGGAGGCAGAGGUUGCAGUGAGCCGAGAUCAUGCCACUGCACUCCAGCCUGGGUGACAGAGCCAGACUCUGUCUCAG
rnacentral:SRP_RNA from 1 species